CCCCAGACUCCUACGGGAGGCAGCAGUGGGGAAUAUUGCACAAUGGGGGAAACCCUGAUGCAGCGACGCCGCGUGAGCGAUGAAGUAUUUCGGUAUGUAAAGCUCUAUCAGCAGGGAAGAAAAUGACGGUACCUGACUAAGAAGCCCCGGCUAACUACGUGCCAGCAGCCGCGGUAAUACGUAGGUGGCAAGCGUUAUCCGGAUUUACUGGGUGUAAAGGGCGUGUAGGCGGGGACGCAAGUCAGAUGUGAAAACCAUGGGCUCAACCUGUGGCCUGCAUUUGAAACUGUGUUUCUUGAGUACUGGAGAGGCAGACGGAAUUCCUAGUGUAGCGGUGAAAUGCGUAGAUAUUAGGAGGAACACCAGUGGCGAAGGCGGUCUGCUGGACAGCAACUGACGCUGAGGCGCGAAAGCGUGGGGAGCAAACAGGAUUAGAUACCCGCGUA
rnacentral:rRNA from 1 species